rnacentral:tRNA from 1 species
GGGAGUGUGGCGGAACUGGCAGACGCCCCGGAUUUAAAACCCGGUGUCCAUCGCGACGUGAGGGUUCGAGCCCCUCCACUCCUA